AGCGAACGCUGGCGGCAGGCCUAACACACGCAAGUCGAACGAACCUUUCGGGGUUAGUGGCGGACGGGUGAGUAACACGUGGGAACGUGCCUUUAGGUUCGGAAUAACUCAGGGAAACUUGUGCUAAUACCGAAUGUGCCCUUCGGGGGAAAGAUUUCUCGCCUUUAGAGCGGCCCGCGUCUGAUUAGCUAGUUGGUUGAGGUAAUGGCUCACCAAGGCGACGAUCAGUAGCUGGUCUGAGAGGAUGAUCAGUCACAUUGGGACUGAGACACGGCCCAAACUCCUACGGGAGGCAGCAGUGGGGAAUCUUGCGCAAUGGGCGAAAGCCUGACGCAGCCAUGCCGCGUGAAUGAUGAAGGUCUUAGGAUUGUAAAAUUCUUUCACCGGGGACGAUAAUGACGGUACCCGGAGAAGAAGCCCCGGCUAACUUCGUG
rnacentral:rRNA from 1 species